rnacentral:lncRNA from 1 species
UGGUGAGUAACAUUACACCAUAUUUUAUGUUGAUGAGACGUUCUAUCUUAUUUUUGUUUAAAGCCGAAUAACUAAUACAAUCAAAUAACUAGUUAAAUAGAAUAACACUAUUCAAAAAAUUUAUUUGAAAUUUAUUUUUUCGACUUCGCUACAAACUUUAAAUUCUAAUCGAUGGAUUUGAAUUCUUUGCAUUAUGUGAUCACAUAGUUAGCGAUCUAGACCUUUGAAUCAAGCUUUGAUGGUCGGCGUUCCGACUUUUAUCAUGAACUCCAUUAAUCAAAGUCAGAACGUAGGUUGUCUUAUUUUUAUCCGAUGAUAUUGAUGGCAUUACGGCAUCAAAUGUGUGAUUCUAUGACAAGAGAGAAUCUUCUUAUAUAUAGCUCACCUCAAUAAAUAAAUAAAUUGUUGUCUUUUUCUAUGCUUCAUAGUGAUUUUCAUUAACAUAUUUCACACUACAAGAAAAAUGAUACUUCAUGUAUCACAUGUGGAAUUAUGUGCAAAAUCUCCAUAAUGGUUUCUUUCAUUUGCUUUGUACUUUUCCUUUUGGAAAAAACAACUUUAUAACUAAAAUGCUUAACAUCUACAUUCUACAGGGCUAUCUAGAUCCUGAAUAUUACAUGACUCAACAACUAACCGAAAAGAGUGACGUAUACAGUUUCGGGGUAGUUAUGCUUGAACUGAUAACAUCCAAACAGCCAAUCGAAAAGGGUAAGUACGUCGUUCGCGAAGUUCGAACCUUAAUGAACGACAACGAUGAAGAGUAUUAUGGUUUAAGGGAACUAAUGGAUCCAGUGGUGAGAAACACAGCCAACCUGAUAGGAUUUGGAAGGUUCUUAGAGUUGGCAAUGCAAUGUGUUGAGGAAUUGGCUUCAGACCGACCAACAAUGAGUGAAGUUGUGAAAGCGUUAGAAACCAUAUUACAAAAUGAUGGAAUUAAUACAAAUUCCACUUCAGCUUCAUCAUCUGCCACUGACUUUAAUGCUUCUAAGGGUGCUGCAAUGAGACAUCCUUAUAUUGAUAAUACUUUUACUAAGAAGGAUAAUGUUAUUGAGAGUGAUGCUUUUGAUUACAGUGGAGGGUACACACUUUCAACAAAAGUGGAACCCAAAUAGAUGAUAUAAAUUUUUGUUAGACAUGUCAUUUUUUUUUUUUUUUCAUUCUCAUAUAUUAAAACAUUUACUAGUCUCUUUUCAUCAUUUUGUUGCUGUAUACAAAAUAUAAUGGCGACUAUUCUUUCUGUGGCCAAUAGUUUUCUUGUAUGUAUUGUUUAGGAGGAAAUGUAGCAAGUUUGUUUAUCUCACAGCUCCAGUGUAUAGUAAUUCAUUCAUUCUGGUUAUAGGCAUGCGAUCCAGGCAGUCUGAAUAUGAUAGGACGGUUCACAAAACUUGCGUAUUUAAAUUUUCUUUUUAAUGUGAAUUAUCAAUCUUGAAAUUUACACCAUUCAAUCUUGAUGUUACCAUUUCAGACCGACGUAUUGACUUUUGACUCCAGCAUAUGCUGUCUGCAGGAUGAUUCACCUUAAAAUCUGUCUGACAUACUAAUGUUAUGUAUGUGCAAGUCAUAACCAAAGGAGUAACAAAAUAACAAUGGCUUUAAAAAAACAAAAAUAGCUACAACGCAAAGGGAACCGGACAACGUCUAACUAAGUCUUACAAGUUAUGUGAGCUUCUUUUUCCAUCUUAGGUUUCUAACAAAACCACACAAGACAGAAAAAUUAGUGUUUUUGUCCGGAACUAUACUUCCAGGCUCCUAGUUGAGGAUCUAGUGAACAAGGAAUAUAUCAAACUUGGUAGGCUCUCUUGUUUUAUUAAACAAAAUUAUAAAAAUACCAUAAAAUUUGGAGGAAAAGAAAUAGAAAAAUGGCAAGGAAAAUGGUUUACAUCGCGAGAGAAAAAUCCUGAUAAAAUCACGACACACGUUCAGCCAAGUAUUUGAAAGCCAUUCAUAAAUUACAGCCAGUAACAUGCCUUGAUUUCCGGCCAAGGAUGAGAUUUGAUAAGUUAAAUUCUGAUUUGUGAAUCUUUGGGAGAAGAAAGCUUUUGCGAGAUAUGGCAUUACUCAAUAAACAAUACAAUGAAGUCACUAUCAUUACUCAAAAUGUUUCCUUGCUAUUAACUCUUAAAUGUCAAAGCCGAAUUCUCUUCAACCAUAAAAGCAACAAAAAGAUUUCAAUUAAAAAAAAGUAAGAAGAAAAGAAAAAAAAAACAUGCUGAAACAAUUCAUGCAACAUCAAUGUUUUAUCGUUACUUCUAAAAUUUGGUUUCUGUGUAAUGAAUGAAUUUAUUUUCAGACCUAUCUUCCCUAUUCAAUUUUUUCAUGCACGCACGCACAACAUGAAUAUGGGCUAUAAUUAUGCAAUUUGAAUUAUAAGUUAUUGUUUAAAUAUGAAUAUAUUUAAUCCUUAAGUUAAAUUGAGGUCCAAAGAUGCAUUAAAUUCAUUUGAGGCUUCACUACUUGCAUUGGAAGAUGAGAUACAAACAAGAUUAGCGCCUUAAUUUAAGCCAUCUGGAAGGAGUCAAGGUCCCUUUUUUAUCCCCUCCAUUUGUUCCAUUAUCAAAGUUUUGAUGUAUAAAUAUUCAAUUAAUGUUUUCGAUUUUAAAAAUGUGUACAUACAACAUUUAUUUAACUAAAAACUAAAGGAAAUGGAGAGAAUCCCUUUUUUGGCAAAAAUAUAACAAUAUUCAUUUGAAUUGAUAGAGUGCAUCGAUACAAUAUAAAUGAAUAAACACACAUAAAAAGUCAAGGUACUUAUGCCAACAAACAGAGUCGUGCAGAGACGACGAAAUCACAAAAACAAACGAAAGAAAAAUAUGUGGAAAUCACAUAUUCAAUUAGAAAAGAAGGAAAAACAAUUCGGAUGAGUGAUUUUGGGUCAAAAUUGACCAUAAAUCACUCAUCUUCAUUAGACAAGAAAAAGAAAGGAAUGACGGUUGGGGUUUGAAAAGGAGAGAAGAGAGGUUAGCUUCUUUAAAAAAAAAAAACUUAAAAAAUUUUACACAUGCAUGGAUCCCAUGUACACCUAUCAUUUCUCUAUUAAAUGUGCAUGCAAUAGGUAUAUAAAUGCUACCCUAUCAUUUAUUAUUGGGUAUAAUUUACACAUGACUUAGCAACAUCAAUGGAAAGGAACGAUGAACAAGUUGCAAGAUUUCUUUUCUAUUGGUCACUAAGCAAGCAAAAUUAAUUAAUGAUGACAAGACAGUUAAAAGCGACUUGCAAGCUAUGAAGUGAAGAAAGGGUAACAUAGCAAUUCGUUUGUGGCUAAGUUAAAGAGUUUGAAAGUCAGAAGAAGACUAUGAGUCUAUGAUUGUGAAUAUAUUGAUACGUGGCAUAUGCAACAGUAUUGAAUUGGAUUAGCUUCUAAUUAAGACAGGAAAAAUAAUCAACAAAAAUUGAGCAGGAACCACAAGUGUCUUCCUUUGUUUUGUCUUUAUGAAACCUCAUUGCAUUUUUGUCCUUCACUACUUCCUCUUCAUCCUAGACUUUCUACACUUGACUUUGUUUCUUGCUAGUUGGUAGCUAGCAUGUUACAUGUUACAUGCAAUGCAUAAUAUCCUUUCUUUGCUUGAGGCAAGUAUUUUUGUCUGAGUGCCAUAUAAUCAGCAAAUUGUCAAGAAGUUGAUUGAGAACUAUUUCUAACAUGAAAAUACAAAGUGUGUUUCUCUUUUUGUUAUUCUUAUGGGCUCAAAUUCAUCUCAUCUUUUCAAUUACUGAUCCUCAAGAUGGUAAUGUUUCAUAACAUCCUUUUUAUUGAUCAAAAGUGUCGGUUAUGUUGUAAAUGGCUUAUUCCAUCUACUUUAUUUCCAUUAGUCCAUGUGUGUGCUCAUCAAGAGUACUAAAGUAGUAAAAUAGUUUUGUUAAAUGUUGAUUUUGUUAUGUAAUACAAUAAUUGUACAUAAAUAAAUAAGUGAGAAUGUUAGUUUCAUGCCAAAACACAAUAUCAUAGCAAGGACAUGUUUGGAUUUGUCUAUUGAACUUAUCUACUGGCCUAAACACUAGUGAGAAUGUUCAAAGUAACUUAUGAAAACAACUUAUAGUUUAUAGAAAACAGAUUGACUUUAUUCUAUUCUUUGUUAUAGAAAUAACUUAUUGCACAUAAAAACUUGUAUGAUAAGCACUUCAUUAAGUUGUUUAUCCAAAUAUGACGUAAGUUACUACCGGUUAAUGCAUUUUUUAUAAUGUUUAUAUACUGUUGCAGUUACCGUACUUAUGUCUCUAAAAGAUGCAUGGCAAGAUACACCACCCAGCUGGGACAAAUCAGAUGACCCUUGUGGAGCACCUUGGGAAGGAGUAAUCUGCAAUAAAUCAAGGGUUACUUCAUUGUAAUAUAUAUAAAUUGAACAUUAUUAUUCCUUGUUAACUUUGGUAUAUUAAUUUUAUCACCCUUUUACUCACACUUUUCCAACCUACUAAUUUAAAAAAUUCUACUUUGUCAUUUACAUAAAAAAUAUAGGAGAUUGUCAACCAUGGGCCUGAAGGGUGAAUUAAGUGGAGAUAUUGGUGGACUCACAGAAUUAAGAUCCUUGUAAGUAUUGUUUUAUGUGUAUUAUUAAAAUGAAACCAAAGGCUAGCAUUAAGGUUUCACCAUAUGACUGAUAUAAUCAUUAAAUAAAUCAUCAAUGUAGUAUCUAAAGUAUUAUUAUUUUCUGUCCAAUUUAGAUCCAAGUAUAUAAAAAUGAUAAGUAGUUUCUUAAGUAUAUGAAAUUCGUCGAUGUAGAAAUAUAUGAAAAUUCGUCAUAUGUUAGUCUCUAACAUCAUAAUAGCAUGGACUAAAGUAAGAAACUUCAUAUACUUUAGGAACUAAAACGACAAAUUCCAUAUACUUUAAGGACUGGCUGCUGGACAAAUGCACGGAAUUUUUGGUCAGGAGCUGUUGUGAAUUGUUGCACAGCCUGCAGAAUUCUGCAGCAGCAGAUGCAGAAUUUAUUUCUGCAGUUAGGCAACUAUGGGUUACCUCCAUGUCGUCAAAAAUUGCUUUGGAUGGAAAUUAUUGCAAGAAAGGCUCCCAACCCGGGGCAAAUUACGGAGAAGAGUAGUCAUUCGGGAUAUUCAUCAACAAAGCUGUGUAUUUUGCUUUGAAGGCAUAGAAUCAGCAAGUCAUUUAUUUGUAAAUUGCGCGAAAACUCAAGAUUGGGAGCUAAUUCUCAAUUCUCUGAAUUGGAAACCAGAUAAUUGGAGUUAUGAGAUAGUAGAUAAUUUGUUAUUGGUCAAUUUGGUUUGCAAGGAAAGAAGGGUCGGGAGGGGUCACAUUUAAUUUGGCUAACGAGGCUAGGUGUAUUUGGUUGCAACAUAACCAUAAAAUUUUUAACGGAAAAAUAUCAAUGUGUGAGAAGUUGUAGAUCUCAUCAAACAACUAUCUUGGUCUUGAUUAUUUAGCAGGAUGGGAUGGAAUAACUGUUUAAAGUUUGCCUUUCGAUGAACAUUUGAUGGCUGUUGCUUUGGAACUUGUGUUGGCUUCGUGGUUUGUUGCUUUUGACAGUAUCUAGAAGGUGUUUCUUUGGAAUUGUUUGCUGCAGAAUGUAGGAGUCUUUUUCGUUUUUCUGGUUUUUAGUAGCAGGGGGGAUGCAUUGGCUUAGCAGAUUUUGUUUUAAAUAGAGGGGGAGCCAUGUAGUGGUUUCCAAUAUAGUUUAGCCGCUCAUGUGCAAUUUGUUUUGGAUUAAUGGUAGCGUGUUUUGUUAUUCCUUAAAGUUGUAUUCUGGUUUGGAGCGGCUUUUUCACGCCAUGUGCUAUUUUACUCUAUACUGAAAAAACGACUAAAUUGGAAAGAGAGUGAUACUUUAUAGACUAAAUUGAUUGUUUAUUGUAUAAGAAUUUAACAAGCCAUAAUCACAAUUACAAUACUUUUAAAGAAAAUUGUUUCCAUAAUACUAACUUAUCUUUAGUCAUAAAAAAGAAGGAAUAAAAAACUUCCAUACAAUGUAUUUGCAUAUUAACUUGUGUCAAUUCAUUUAACUGCAGGGACUUGUCCUUUAAUAAAGGUUUAAUGGGUCCUAUCUCUCCACAAUUGGGAGACUUAAGCAAGCUAAAUAUUCUGUAAGUUAGGUUCACAAUACCUGUUAAUUUCCCAAUCCAUUUCAAGUGAAACUUUUAGUAAUUUUCAUACGGAUUUAAACUUCACUGUUUCAGGAUUUUGGCUGGUUGCAGCUUCAGUGGCAAUAUUCCAGAUAGAUUGGGGGAUCUUUCAGAGCUAUCUUUCUUGUAUGAAUUUUUUUAGAAGAAGCAUUGUUACCGAUGUUUUAAAAAUUGGAUGAACUAGCCGGUUCAAUAAGUUGGCCAAUUCGCCGAUUGGUUUGAUCCUGUUAUAUUGUAGGAUGGUUGAAUCGGGAUUGAACCGGUUGAACUGAUUGAACAAUGAUCCGGCGGUUUCACUGAUUCGAUCUCCAAUUCGGUUUUUUAAACAUUCGUUCAUUUUUACUUGCAUAACAAAUAAGUGAUUAGUAAUUUAAUACUAUACACGUCUUAUUGAAUUAUUUAGGGCUUUAAAUUCAAACAACUUCACUGGAAAAAUACCUCCUUCAUUGGGGAAACUCUCCAAACUUUAUUGGUUGGACUUGGCAGACAAUCAGCUUACAGGACCACUCCCAGUUUCAACCUCCAUUACCCCUGGCUUAGACCUCCUUUUAAAGGCUAAGCACUUGUAAGUUUGUUGCUUUUUUUGGUGUUUCUUUGUUGACUUUUGUGAGUACUUUUUAUGGCUCCUUAUUGUCUAAAAACAUUGCAGUUUAUCAUUUUCUAAAAUUUGUGUUCGAAUUAAAUUGUCAAGAAAGGGAUAAAAGACAUGUGUAAUAAACAAUUGUGAUAAAAAAACAUGGAAGACAAGCAAGGAAGAUUGCAUUUCAUUUUAAACAAUGUCCUGACAUUUCAAAAUUUCUGAAAAUGUUAGACUUGUUUGGGAAAUAUUAGAUUUGUAUUAUCUUAUUUUUAUUAGUUGAAAUAGGCCUAUUUGAGAGAACAAUGCUCCCUUUCCUCUUUUCCUCUAUUAGUAGUUUCUAAUGUUAUAACGAGUAUUAAAUCAACAGUUUUUCAAUUACUAUUUUAUGCAGCCAUUUCAAUAAAAACAAGCUUUCUGGUACCAUUCCUCCGAAACUUUUCAGCUCUCACAUGGUACUCAUACACAUGUAAGUUGACAUUUGUGAUGUUUGGAUUAACUUGUUUUAUUUUUUCGACUAGCACAAGCACUUGUGAGUCAGCUUACUUUAAUACGCUCUUCAGUAUAGCUUAUGAAAACAGCUUAUAGCAUAUAUGAAAGCAAUUUAACUUAUACAUAAGAACUUAUAAGAUAAACGCUUAUGCUAUAUGCACUUAGUUAAUCUGUUUAACCAAAUAGGGCCAUUUUAGGUUUUUAUAAGCUUAUGGUCCCAACUCUCAAUUUUUGUGAUGUUCUUACUGACAGAUUAUUUGAUGGAAAUGAUUUAAGUGGAAGUAUACCUUCUACAAUAGGACUAGUUCAAACAGUUGAGGUUCUGUAAGUCAAUUCUUUCCUUAUGUUUCAAAUGUUCUUUACAUUCAUUUAAUUCCUUCUUCCAUUUAUUUUCACUAUACUGAAUAUUCUUCUUUGAUUACCUUUUUGUUAAUUGUUUCAAAUUUAUGACAGUCGGUUCGACAGAAAUUUCUUGACAGGAGAGGUCCCUUCAAAUCUCAGUAACCUUAGCAACAUCACCGAAUUGUGAGUACUUAGAUUUGAGACGCGGAUAUAUAAAAGGAUUUUAUAAUAACAUCAAUGGAUAAUUAUACAGUGUUACUUCAUUCCAGGAAUUUAGCACACAACAGUUUGUCAGGUCCUUUGCCAGACUUAACAUCAAUGGAUAACCUCAAUUAUGUGUAAGUAAUUGGCAUGAGUUGGCAUUUCUACUUUCUUUCCUAUAAGAGAAAUGAUUUUCAUAUGACCAAAUUUCGACAAUAUUCACGACAACAUUUGAGUGGUUAGCACAUUUCAAUUGGUGGUUAAUUACAUUUAGUAGAUAGUUAAUAGAUGUAUCAUGUGUCAAACUCAUUAACCACCACGAUUGCUUCAUUAACCAUGAAUUAGGAAGGGGUUAACUAUAAUUUUAGAUGUUCAACUACAUGUAGAUUUGAACACCUCAAAAUUGAGGUUAAUUAAGUCCAUAUUUUUGGUUAAUGAAGUUAUGUAAAUGGUUAAUAAGUUUUAACACAUGUUAUAUCCAUUAAUCAUUGAACCUAAUGCUUAGUGAACUGUGUUAACCACUUAUAUUGUUGUCGCAAAAGUUGUCCAAUUUUUGUUGUGCAAAUAACACAAUUGUUCCUUUAAUAUGAUAUGAUAUGAUGUUAUCAUUGAUAUAAUGCUAAUCAAUAGAUAGUGUUAUGUAGGGAUCUUAGUAACAAUUCCUUUGAUCCAUCAAAAGCUCCAAUUUGGUUUUCAACUUUAUCAUCACUCACCACUCUGUAAGUAAUUUACAAGAAGAACAAAAAAGUUUCUCCCUUGUCAAGUUAUCAAAUCUAACAAGGAAUCCUUUUUUCUCCAUGAUCUAUGCUUAGUGUUAUGGAGUUUGGAGCACUUGAAGGUCCUCUUCCAUCAAAACUGUUGACUAAUUGACCUAUAAAACUUUUCUGAAUACUUUAUUGUUUAUGUUACUUUAUUGCUUAUGUGUGUAAUUAUUUUAACUUGUUUUGUUAGUAAAACUAUGCUGCACAAGUAAGAUUAUCUGCACAAGUUAAGUAGGUUUAUGUCAUAUAUAUGACAUCAGCUAAGCAUAGGCUGAGUCAUUACUUAGUAUUUGGCUAUAAGUAUGUAAGAAGGAUGUAUGGAUGGUAUGUAUCAAAUUUGCAGCAUAGUAAACAUUGUUAUUGUCCCUUUCUCUUCCAUUUUUUUUUCUUCUCUAAUUUCUGUUUUCUGUUUUUGAGCUUAUUGCUUCUGCUGCCAUUACAAAAGCUAACAAUGGUAUCAGAGCAGUGUUCUUAGAGGCUGUGAGAAAAAGAAAAACACACACCCAGAAAACUUGUUAGAAAUCAAAUGGCUUCUGGUAGUAAUGCUGUAAUUACUGUUCCUCAAUUUUCUGGGGAAAGUUAUCACAUAUGGGUUGUCAAAAUGAAAUCAUGUUUGAAGUCUUUUGGCUUAUGGGAUUAUGUAGAUGAAGACAAGCAGGUUCCACCACUGCAAGCUAAUCCCACAGUAGCUCAAAUGAAACACCAUGAGGAGGAGAAAUUGAAGAAGGAGAAAGCGGUUUCAGUUCUGCAUUCAGCCUUGGCAGAUGAUGUGUUUACGGGAAUCAUGCAUCUCGAAACAGCCAAGCAAAUAUGGGAUGAGCUGGACGAAAGGUAUGCUGGUGAUGAAAGGGUAAGAUCCAUAAAGUUAUUGACUCUUAAAAGGGAGUUUGAAAUGCUGAAAAUGAAGGAACAUGAAUCUGUCAAAGAAUACACCUCAAAACUAUCUCACUUGGUGAAUCAAAUGAGACUUCAUGGUGAGGUUGUAGAUGACAGCAAAGUAGUGGAAAAGAUGCUGAUCAGCUUACCCGACAAAUUUGAAGCCAAAGUUGCUGCUAUUGAAGAGUCAUGUGAUCUCAAGAAACUAACUGUUUCUGAGAUGGUCAGCAAAUUGACAGCUCAUGAACAAAGAUUCUCUAUGAGAAUGGAUGAUGUUUCUGAUGGUGCUUUUCAGGCCAAACACAAGCAGUUUGGAGUUGGACAGAAGAAAAAGAACUACAAACAUGGUGGUGAUCAAAAAGGAAAGAACAAAGAUGAUGGUAGUUCAAGUGAAUCUGCAGCAAAGGACAAGUUCCCUCCUUGUCUAACUUGUAAAAGAACAAAUCACUUGACAAAAGAUUGCUUUUAUAAGGGAAAGCCCCAAAUUAAAUGCAAUCACUGUAAUCGAUGGGGUCAUAGAGAGAAGUUUUGUCGAUUAAAACAAAACCAAUCUCAACCACAACAUGCACAUCAGGUUAACUUCACUGAUGAACAAGCCCAUGAAGAUCACUUGUUUAUGGCCACUCAUACAUGUAGCUCUUCUUCUAAAGAUGUAUGGUAUGUUGAUAGUGGGUGCACAAUCCACAUGGCAAAUGAACCAAGUCUCUUCACCUCUUUGGACAAAGCUGUACAAACCAAAGUGAAGAUUGGAAAUGGAAAAUAUGUGCAGGCCAAAGGAAAAGGUAUUGUUUCUGUUCACACUAGCAAAGGUCCAAAAUAUAUCCAUGAUGUUUUGUUGAUUCCAGAUCUGAGUCAAAAUUUGCUAAGUGUUGCUCAGUUAUUGAAGAAAGGAUAUUCAAUUUCCUUUAAAAAUAAUGUUUGUGUCAUAAUGGAUUCAACUGAUUCUGAAGUUGUGAAGGUUGAAAUGUGUGGAAAUAGUUUUCCAUUAAGUUUGAAUCAAGUGAAUCAAACAGCACUUGUUUCCAAACAUGAUGAUUCUGCACUAUGGCACAAAAGAUAUGGUCAUUUUAAUUUUAAUGCAUUAAAAUUUCUGCAAUCUCAUGAUAUGGUGAGAGACAUGCCAGAAAUUAAUUGUAUUAAUGAUUUAUGUGAUGCUUGUCAACUUGGAAAAAUGCAUAGAAAGUCCUUUCAGUCAACAAAUGUUACACGAGCAAAGGAAAAAUUGGAGCUUGUUCAUACCGACUUGUGUGGUCCUAUGAGUGUGCCCUCUCUUAGCCACAACAAGUACUUUCUAUUGUUUAUUGAUGAUCUGACUAGGAUGACAUGGGUGUAUUUUCUGACAAGUAAAGCUCAAACUUUUAAUGUCUUCAAAAAGUUUAGAGCUAUGGUGGAAUCUCAAAGUGGCUGCAAAAUCAAAGCUUUGAGAUCUGACAACGGAAAGGAGUAUACUUCCAAUGAAUUUAAUUUGUUUUGUGAAGAUAUGGGCAUUGUACAUCAGCUGACAGUGAGCUACACACCUCAGCAAAAUGGAGUUUCUGAGAGGAAAAACAGAACAGUUAUGGAGAUGGCAAGAUGUUUGAUUGCUGAAAAGCAAUUACCAAAAAGCUUUUGGGCUGAAGCUGUUUAUACAGCAGUGUAUCUCUUGAAUAGGCUGCCAACAAGGGCUGUUCAAGGGAAAACACCAAUUGAGGCAUGGAUAGGUGUGAAGCCUUCAGCCAAACAUUUGAAGGUCUUUGGAUCAAUAUGUUAUGUUCAUGUUGUAGCAGCAAAAAGAUCCAAAUUGGAUGAUAAAGCUGAAAUGGGGAUUUUUUUGGGUUAUGCAGCAAGCUCCAAAGGUUAUAGAGUGUACAACUUGAAGACAAAACAAAUUGUGAUCAGCAGAGACAUUGAUGUUGAUGAAAAUGCAUAUUGGGAUUGGGAAAAUGAUGAGGUUCAAAGAAGUACAAAAUCUGCUGAAAGUGCUCAUGACAAACAAGAGCACACAACAAAUGAAGAUGAAAAUCAGAUAGCUGAAUCUGAUUCCCCAAUUCUAAAGAGCAAAUCUCUGUCUGAAGUUUAUGAAAAUUGCAAUUUUGUUGAGAAUGAACCUUCUAGUUUUGAAGAAGCUUCAUUGAUAACAGAAUGGAAAGAUGCAAUGAAGGAGGAGCUGCUGGCCAUUAAUAAAAAUGGUACAUGGGAACUCACUCAAAGACCUAAAGAUAAAAAUGUGAUAGGAGUUAAAUGGGUUUACAGAACCAAGUUAAAUCCUGAUGGCUCCAUUCACAAACACAAAGCAAGGCUUGUUGUGAAAGGAUAUUCUCAAAUGGCUGGAAUUGAUUAUGGUGAUACAUUUGCACCGGUUGCUAGGCAUGAAACAAUUCGGUUGAUUGUUGCUCUAUCAGCACAAUGUGGAUGGAAGAUCUUUCAUUUGGAUGUCAAAUCGGCAUUCUUAAAUGGAAUCCUGGAGGAGGAAAUUUAUGUUGAACAACCUGCUGGUUUUAUUGUUGCAGGUCAUGAAGACAGUGUUUAUAGGCUUCACAAAGCCUUGUAUGGGCUAAAACAGGCGCCUAGAGCCUGGUACAGCAGAAUUGACUCACAUUUUCUGCAAAAUGAUUUCAGGAGGAGUCAAAAUGAGCCUACACUUUAUGUUAAAGAAUGUGGCAAUGGGAAGAGGAUUAUAGUUUCUCUUUAUGUUGAUGACUUGUUGAUUACCGGUAAUGACAUUGAUGAGAUUAACAAGUUUAAGAAGAGCAUGUUGCAGGUCUUUGAAAUGACGGACCUGGGAUUGAUGAAGUAUUUUUUGGGAAUGGAAUUGCAUCAGCUUGAUGAUGGAAUAUUUCUUUCACAAAAGAAAUAUGCUAAUGAUGUGCUGAAAAAAUUCAAAUUGGAGAGUUGUAAAUCUGUUUCAACACCUCUUGCUGUAAAUGAAAAACUCUCAAAAUCUGAUGGAGAUGCUAAGGCAGAUGUUACUCAAUAUAGGAGUUUGAUUGGUUGUCUUCUUUACUUGACUGCAACUAGACCAGAUUUGAUGUUCUCUGCUAGUUUGCUUUCUAGGUUCAUGCAUUCACCAAGUGUAACACACUUAGGUGUGGGCAAAAGAGUGUUGAGGUACAUAAGAGGUACUACUGAUUUUGGUAUUUGGUACAACAAAGGUGAUGGUAAGAUUGAAGGCUUUGUUGAUAGUGAUUGGGCUGGAUCUAUUGAUGAUUCUAAAAGCACAAGUGGUUAUGUUUUUUCACUUGGUAGUGGUGUAUUUUCAUGGAAUUCCAAAAAACAAGAUGUGGUUGCUCAAUCCUCAGCUGAAGCUGAGUAUAUUGCUGCUGCAGCUGCAUCAAAUCAAGCUAUUUGGAUCAAAAAGGUAUUGAGUGAUCUGAAUCAUGUACAAGAGGAACCAAUUGUGCUAUGGUGUGACAACAAAUCAGCUAUAGCAAUUGCCAAAAAUCCAAUUCAACAUGGAAGAACAAAGCAUAUCAAUGUCAAAUUUCAUGCUAUAAGAGAAGCUGAACAAAAUGGAGAUGUAAAACUGCAGCACUGCAGUUCUGAAGAACAAUUGGCAGACAUUUUAACAAAAGCACUUCCUAGUGCCAAGUUCAUGGAGCUAAGAAGCAAGCUAGGAGUAUUUCAAAAAAGUUUUAAGGAGGAGUGUUGACUAAUUGACCUAUAAAACUUUUCUGAAUACUUUAUUGUUUAUGUUACUUUAUUGCUUAUGUGUGUAAUUAUUUUAACUUGUUUUGUUAGUAAAACUAUGCUGCACAAGUAAGAUUAUCUGCACAAGUUAAGUAGGUUUAUGUCAUAUAUAUGACAUCAGCUAAGCAUAGGCUGAGUCAUUACUUAGUAUUUGGCUAUAAGUAUGUAAGAAGGAUGUAUGGAUGGUAUGUAUCAAAUUUGCAGCAUAGUAAACAUUGUUAUUGUCCCUUUCUCUUCCAUUUUUUUUUCUUCUCUAAUUUCUGUUUUCUGUUUUUGAGCUUAUUGCUUCUGCUGCCAUUACAAAAGCUAACAAAAACUAUUCAGCAGUCCUCAAAUACAGCAAGUGUAAGUCACAAACUUCAAUGUAAAAGAUAAGUAUAAACUACAAACAUUGGAAGCAGUAACCAUAAUUUUCAUCUUUUAAAUUCAGGAAACUAAGAAGCAAUGCACUGAACAAAACACUAAACAUGGAUGACAGCAUUUAUCCCCGGUUGAAGCUUGUGGAUUUACAAGAGAAUAGGAUUUCAACAGUCAUAAUCGGGGAACAUUACAAAAAUACAUUGAUGUGAGACCUUUUUUGCGUUCUAAUCAGGCAUACUUUGGCUCCAUUUGACUUCCAUUAUUUUUUACUUCUCUUUUACUGAUGUAGUGAUUUCUAUCUAUUCAUGCCUUUCAGUCUCAUUGGAAAUCCAGUGUGCAGUACUGGUCUCUCAAAUGCAAAUUACUGCAACCUUCGGCAACAGCUUAAACAGCCCUAUUCCAUUAGCUUGGCUAAUUGUGGAGGAAUAUUAUCAUGUCCCCUGGAUCAAAAGCUCAGUCCACAAAGUUGUGCAUGUGCCUAUCCAUAUCAAGGAAUGUUGUACGUUAGAGGACCUUUGUUUAGAGAAUUGUCUAAUAUAACUAUUUUCCAUUCACUUGAAAAGAGCUUAUGGGAGAAAUUGGGUUUAACACCUGGUUCAGUUUCUUUACAAAACCCUUUUUUCAAUGGUGAUGAUUAUCUUCAAAUGCAACUAGCACUCUUUCCACCAACAGGACAAUAUUUUAAUAGGUCAGAAGUUCAAAGAUUUGGAUUUUCAUUGAGUAAUCAAACAUACAAGCCUCCACAUGAAUUUGGACCCUACUACUUCAUUGCAUCUCCUUAUGCUUUUCCAGGUAACUUAAAAAUACAAUACAAACAUUAUUGAUGUGCUUUGAUGUUAUAUAUUUAGCUUUAUGAAAGAUGUACUUAACAGUCGAUACACAACAUUGAUGUAUGCCUAAUGCUAUAUUGUGAUUUAUUGAUCGCUGUUGUUGUAUAAUAACUGAACACACAAGGUGUAAAUUGUAACUAAUUAUGUGUGUGUAUUAAUACUAAUACAAUUACAAUUGCAACUUCUAUGCAGCUGGUAAAGUGAUAUUUAUAUAUAUAACAAAAUGUAAAUUUAAAUUAUUUCAGAUUCCUACAAAGGAGCUUCUCUUAGCAUAGGUACUAUUAUUGGGAUAACAGCUGGAAGCACAACUUUGAUUUUGUGCCUCGUAGGGUUAAUGGUAUAUGCAAUCCGGCAAAAGAAGCGUGCAGAGAGAGCCAUUGGAAUAAGUAGACCAUUUGGUAAUGAAACAACAUUCGCACUUUGAUUUUCUUGUUAACUUUUAUCAACUUUGUUUAUACGACACAUUUUUCUUCCAGCAUCCUGGGCAUCAAGUGGAAAGGAUAGUGGAGGUGCACCACAAUUGAAGGGAGCAAGAUGGUUCUCUUAUGAUGAACUAAAAAAGUGCACCAACAAUUUCUCAGGAAGAAAUGAACUGGGCUUUGGUGGCUAUGGCAAGGUAUUUCAUUUGUGUUAACAUCUAGUUCAGGAAGAUCUUUUUGUCAUGGUUAUCAGUAUCUUCCGGUUCAUGGAUACAUGGAGAAGUAUCUCAAAUUGAUACCAAAUUGAAUCCAAUCCAGUCGAUACGAAUAUCUAGUGUCUAUCUAUUUGGACAUGAAUAAUCUCAACUAUAAUUCUGAUUUACUAUGACGAAUCUUGAUUCUUUCAAAAGAAUCACUAUCUAAACUUAGUGUAAACACUACCUUUUUUGUCAAUUUUGUAUAACCAAUCACUUUUUUUUACAGGCCAUUUUUCUUUUAUCAUUUGAUAUAUAACUUGAAUCUUGAAUUAUUUUGAGAUUCAUAUAUGAUAUAUCAACUAAUAAUUUUGUUGUGUCACUUGUAUUCUAACGAUUCAUAAUAAGAUUCAAUUCCAGAUUCAAAAAAAAUAAUAUCUUAUGAUUCACUAUUUGAAUCUCAAUUUGCUAACCAUGAGUUUUGUAACUGUCUACUAUUGGCUCUAGGUGUACAGAGGGGUGUUCCCUGAUAGAAAAAUAGUUGCAAUCAAAAGAGCUCAGGAAGGAUCAAUGCAAGGAGGCCUAGAGUUCAAGAAUGAAAUUGAGCUGCUUUCAAGAGUUCAUCACAAGAAUCUUGUUAGCCUUGUUGGAUUCUGCUUUGAAAAAGGAGAACAGAUGUUAGUUUAUGAAUUUAUCCCCAAUGGAACACUAAGGGAGAGUUUGUCAGGUAAGUUCAUAGUGAAGGAACACUCAAGCUGAAAGUUAAGCUUAUUCUCUGAAGAAAAAAAUAAAUAAAAUUCACAGAUGAACUUUUGUUGACUACACUGUUUGGUAAAAUUCAUUUCAUACAGAAAAUUAUUAAAAGACUUAAGUGUAUUGUACACAUGUUUCUUUGCAGCUUACUUUUUCAGUUUUGUUAUUUCAAGAACUAAAAUUUGACAACUCUUGUGACAGUAUAAAUGUUUAAUACAGUUGAAAUAAAAUUACGUUUUGUUUAUAUUAUAGAACAAAAGAAAAAAAGAUCCACAAUACUGCUUAAGAACCUAAUAGAAUCCUUUCCAUCAAUGAAUGUGAGUUGCAGGAAAAUCUGGUAUACAACUUGAUUGGAAGAGGAGACUUCGUAUUGCUCUUAGCUCAGCAAGAGGACUUGCAUACUUACAUGAACUGGCCAACCCUCCCAUAAUACAUAGAGAUGUGAAGUCAACCAAUAUCUUGCUGGAUGACAAUUUGAAUGCAAAGGUUGCAGAUUUUGGUCUGUCUAAGCUUGUAUCAGACAGUGAGAAAGGCCAUGUCUCAACUCAGGUCAAAGGGACAUUGGUGAGUAACAAAUACUAACAAUAGAAUAACAAUAACCAAAUUAUAUUUUGAUUUUAAUUGUUCGACUUUGCUACAAACUUAAAUUCUGAUCUAUGAAUUUUGAUUCUCUGCGUUCACGUUAUCAUGUAGUUACCUAUCUGGACUGUCAAAUCAAAGAUUGGACAGCCCACACUCCGAAUUUGAAUUCUGAACUCAUGGUCAAAGUCAGAGCAUAGAUUGCUUGAUUUUUAUUUGAUCAGAUGAUCAAGAUGGCGUUAAUGCAGCAAUUGUGUGAUUCGGUGACAAGAGAGAAUCCUCUUAUACAUAGUGCUCUUCAAUCAAUAAAUAAAUAGAUUGUUGUCUUUUUCUGAAGCUGAUACUGUUAGUUGAUUUCAUUGGCAUAUUUCAAAACACUAGAAAAAUGUUACUUGCUAAUAUCUUAUGUGGAACUAUUAGCUGCGAAAUCUCCACAAUUGUGUCUUUAAUUUGCUUUCUACUUUUCCUUUUGGAAAAAACAACUUUAUAACUAAAAUGCUCAACAUCUGCAGGGCUAUCUAGAUCCUGAAUAUUUCAUGACUCAACAACUAACCGAAAAGAGUGACGUAUACAGUUUCGGGGUAGUUAUGCUUGAACUGAUAACAUCCAAACAGCCAAUUGAAAAGGGUAAGUACGUCGUUCGCGAAGUUCGAACCUUAAUGAACAACAAAGAUGAAGAGUAUUAUGGUUUAAGGGAACUAAUGGAUCCAGUGGUGAGAAACACAGCCAACCUGAUAGGAUUUGGAAGGUUCUUAGAGUUGGCAAUGCAAUGCGUUGAGGGAUUGGCUUCAGACCGACCAACAAUGAGUGAAGUUGUGAAAGCCUUAGAAACCAUAUUACAUAACGAUGGGAUGAUUACAAAUUCUACUUCAGCUUCUUCAUCUGCCGCUAAUUUUGAAGUUUCUAAAGGUGCUGCAGCAAGACAUCCUUACAUUGAUACUCUUUUUAC